GCGAAUGAGGAAAGCACGACAGCGGUGGCGUCGCAGCCAUAGCUGGACAGCCAGCGGGAGAGCAAGGCUUGAGCCUCUGCGUCUAGGAUCAAAAUGGUUUCAAUCCCAGAAUACUAUGAAGGCAAGAAUGUCCUCCUCACAGGAGCUACUGGUUUUCUAUAGAAGGUGCUUCUGGAAAAGUUGCUGAGAUCUUGUCCUAAGGUGAAUUCAGUGUAUGUUUUGGUGAGGCAUAAAGCUAGACAGACACCACAAAAAAGAGUAGAAGAAAUCCUUAGUGGCAAGCUCUUUGACAGAUUGAGAGAUGAAAAUCCAGAUUUGAGAGAGAAAAUUAUAGCAAUCAACAGUGAACUCACCCAACCUAAAAUAGCUCUCAGUGAAGAAGAUAAAGAGGUGAUCAUAGAUUCUACCAAUAUUAUAUUCUACUGUACAGCUACAGUAAGGUUUUAUGAAAACUUAAAGAGAUGCUGUUCAGUUAAAUGUGAUUGCAACGCGACAGCUUAUUCUCCUUGCACAACAAAUGAAGAAUCUGGAAGUGUUCAUGCAUGUAUCAACAGCAUAUGCCUACUGUAAUCGAAAGCAGAUUGAUGAAGUAGUCUACCCACCACCUGUGGAUCCCAAGAAGCUGACUGAUUCUUUAGAGUGGAUGGAUGAUGGCCUAGUAAAUGAUAUCAUGCCAAAAUUGAUAGGAGACAGACCUAAUGCCUACAUACUGUAUACACAAAAGCACUGGCAGAAUAUGCUGUACAACAAGGAGCAAAGCUAAAUAUGGCAAUUAUAAGGCCAUUGAUUGUUGGUGCCAGUUGGAAAGAACCUUUUCCAGGAUGGAUUGAUAACUUUAAUGGACCAAGUGUCCUCUUUAUUGCAGUGCUGUUUUUAACUUCAACAAAGGCACGGAAAGGAAUUCUUCAAACAAUGCGUGCCUCCAACAGUGCCCUUGCAGAUCUUGUUCCUGUAGGUGUAGUUGUCAACAUGAGUCUUGCAGCAGCCUGGUAUUCAGAGUUAAUAGACCAAGAAACAUCAUGGUGUAUAAUCGUACAACAGGCAGCACUAAUUCUUUCCACUGGGGUGAAGUUGAAUACCAUGUAAUUUCCACUUUCAAGAGGAAUCCUCUUGAACAGGCCUUCAGAUGGCCCAACGUAAAUCUAACCUCCAAUUACCUUUUAUAUCAUUACUGGAUUGCUGUAAGCCAUGAGGCCCCAGCAUUCCUGUAUGAUGUCUACCUCAGGAUGACUGGAAGAAGCCCAAGGAUGAUGAAAGCAAUUACGUGUCUUCACAAAGCUAUGAUGUUUCUUGAAUAUUUCACAAGUAAUUCUUGGGUUUGGAAUACUGACAAUGUCAAUAUAUUAAUUAAUCAAUUAAACCCUGAAGAUAAAAAGACCUUCAAUAUUGACGUACGACAGUUACAUUGGGCAGAAUAUAUAGAGAACUACUGCAUGGGAACUAAGAAGUACGUGUUGAAUGAAGAAAUGUCUGGCCUCCCUGCAGCCAGAAAACAUCUGAACAAGUUGCGGAAUAUAUGUUAGGGUUUAAAUAUUAUCCUUGUGAUCCUCAUGUGGUGCAUUUUUAUUGUAAGAUCACAAGUUGCAAGAAACAUCUGGUAUUAUGUGGUUCGCCUGCGUUACAAGUUUCUGUCAUACUUCAGAGCAUCCAGCACUAUGAGAUACCGAAGACCAAGAAUUCAGCAUCAGAACAUCUAUGCAUAUGGUGGUCUAAAUGCCCAAAAUGUAAAAUGUACUUAAAUCAUCUCACCUUUUGUCAAGAUAUUAAACCAUCUUAGAUUGGCGUGUGAAGUAAAUUAUGGUACAUUUUAUGUAACAUUUUAAUGUUUAUAUUCAUAAAACCUAGUGAACACACUGUUAUGCCAGCUCAAAUCUACAAUAGCCACCAAAACCAUGACUUAAUACUUUGAGCCCUAGAAGAAAGGGGUGGGAUGAGGGCAGAAGUGAGGAAAUAGGAAUACUGACCAAUAUAACUGUGCAAUUAUGGAACAUAUUAAUUAAAAUAUGCCUUAAUAUAUAGUGAAUUUCUAAUUCUAAUGUGCAGGGCAAUGGAAGACAUUUAUUUGGACAGUAAUACUAGCUAAGUUGGAAGAUAUUUGAUUCUUCAGUGUGAUUUUUUCAUUAGUUGAAGUAGGUUUUAGUUUUUUAAAAUUAUAACCAACCUAUUUUCACACCAUCUUGUAAGUUAAAUGAUAUCAAACUUGAAAGGCAUGUUCUCAUUUUUCUUUUUCUGAUGAAAUGUCAGAUACGUAUCAUUUUUUACAAGCAAUCAGUUGCUUUUAAAAUCAGAAGGCUGUAUUAUUCUAAUGACCCUACUGGAUCUAAAUGGGUUUGAGAAUCCAUAUCAACAUAUGCUAUGUGUUUUUUGACGGAAAGUGAAAACAAAUUCAGUAAAACUGUUAGUAUCAAAAAUAACAGGAAUACAGUUUUCUUGUUGACAUUAUGAUCAAAUAAAAAUCCUGUGAGAUUGUCUUUAUGUUUUGAA